rnacentral:rRNA from 1 species
GGAAGAACACCACAAGGAGUGGAGUGUGCGGCUUAAUUUGACUCAACGCGGGACAACUUACCGGGCCCGACGACCGUAAGAGUGUGACACACGAUAGGUCGAAGAGUGGUGCAUGGCCGUUAACGACGAGUGGAGUGAUCUUUGGGUUAAGUCCGUAAAUUAGUGAGACCUCAGCCGUAAGGGACAGGUGCGCAAAGCACAGGAAGGAUGGGUCAAGGACAGGUCAGUGAUGCCCUUAGAUGGUCCGGGCUGCACGCGCACUACAGUGGUCGCCGAAAUUAGCUGAUAAUUUUAAAGGCGAUCGAGAGGGAAUGAGCUUUGUAAGAGGCUCAGGAACGAGGAAUUGCUAGUAAUCGCGGACUCAUUAAGACGCGAUGAAUACGUCCCUGUUCUUUGUACACACCGCCCGUCGUUAUCGAAGAUGAAGACAGGCGCGAACGAUCUACCAGAAAGUGAGCGCAGUCUUUAGAUCUGAUACAAGUCGUAACAAGGUAGCUGUAGGUGAACCUGUAGCUGG